GUACAACUAAAAACAUUUAUUUUUAUUUAAAAAAAUUUUUAGUUGUAGUUGGACACAAUAUUUUAUUUAUUUUUAUGUGGUGCCAAGGAUCGAACCCAGGGCCCCACAUUUGCUAGGAAAGCGCUCUUCUGCUGAGCUACAAUCCCAGCCCACAACUAAAAAUAUUACAGUGCACACCUAUAAUCCCAGCUACUUGGGAGGUUGAGGCAAGGUAUCCCAAGUUUAAGGCCAGCCUCAGCAACUUAGCAAGGUCCCAUCUCAAAAUAAAAAGGGCUGGAAACAUAGCUCAUGGUAGAGCACCCCUGGGUUCAAUCCCCAGUGGUGUAUGUAUGUACACACCCACCAAGUUUCAAGAAAUGCAAUAAAUAAGCUUUAAUGCACAAAUGUUCCCCUGUAGCAUUAAUGAUAACAGCAAAAAUCUGAAAAUAAUUCAAAUGUUCAGCAACAGGGGGAUUUGGUUAAAUAUUGGUGAUAUGUCCUCUGAAUAGAAUUAUUAGCAAUUGCAAUAUGGUGUCUGGACACAAUGUAUCUGGUAUGUCUGCCUUGUGGUUUGUCUUUCACUGUGCUACUGAUAUUAAACCGCAGAGUGCCAUGUCCAUUGGCAGCACCCAUGUGCCAUGCGUGUGACGGGAGUGGGAGGGGCAGGCAUGGCUGCAAGGGUAUUUUGUUUUUAUGAUUUCUUAGUUUUCGCAGUGCUGGGACUGACCCCAGGGCCUUUUGCAUGCUAAACACGGAGCCCCAGCCAUGUGUUAUUCUGUUUUUAUUGUUUCUAAAAGGGUAGUUCAAAUCUUUCAAAUAAGCCAAAAGUGAAAACCAAAUUUAGGGGCUGGGAGUUACAGUGGUGGGGGGAGUGCGUGCCAGCAUGCAAGGCCCUGGGUUCAAUCCCAGCCUGCAAAACCACCCAUAACCAUCAACGAGCCCCGCAGCCUCUACCUAACUGCUCCCCGUCUUCUCCCCAUGGGACUCACCAGGACACUCUGCUCUGAUCGUGCCUAUACCUGGCAGAGGAUGGCGAAGCACUAAAAGGAGAAUAACAAGUGGUCGCUUCAGGGUGGUGGGAUUAUUUUUGUUUUUUUCCACCUGUCUGUGAUUUUUAAGGUAAAAAUAAAGUAAGACAAGAAGCCAGC
rnacentral:lncRNA from 1 species